AGCAGCCGCCGCGGUAAUACAGAGGGUGCAAGCGUUAAUCGGAAUUACUGGGCGUAAAGCGCGCGUAGGUGGUUUGUUAAGUUGGAUGUGAAAGCCCCGGGCUCAACCUGGGAACUGCAUCCAAAACUGGCAAGCUAGAGUACGGUAGAGGGUGGUGGAAUUUCCUGUGUAGCGGUGAAAUGCGUAGAUAUAGGAAGGAACACCAGUGGCGAAUGCGACCACCUGGACUGAUACUGACACUGAGGUGCGAAAGCGUGGGGAGCAAACAGGAUUAGAUACCCCCGUAGUCCCUGUCUCUUAUAC
rnacentral:rRNA from 1 species